rnacentral:rRNA from 1 species
AUUGAACGCUGGCGGCAGGCCUAACACAUGCAAGUCGAACGAGUGGCGGACGGGUGAGUAAUGUCUGGGAAACUGCCUGAUGGAGGGGGAUAACUACUGGAAACGGUAGCUAAUACCGCAUACCAUCAGAUGUGCCCAGAUGGGAUUAGCUAGUUGGUGGGGUAACGGCUCACCAAGGCGUCGAUCCCUAGCUGGUCUGAGCGGAUGACCAGCCACACUGAAAGAGAGACACGGUCCAGACGCCUACGGGAGGCAGCAGUGGGAAUUAUUGAACAAAGGGCGAAAGCCUGAUGGAGCCAUGCCGGGUGAAUGAGGAGGGCCUGCGGGUUGUAAAGUACUUUGAGCGGGGAGGCGUUACCCGAAAAGGAAGCACGGGCAAACUCCGUGCCAGCAGGCGCGGUAAUAC